UUGCUUUGUGUCUGCCUUUUCUAUACCUUUGCAUUAACACUAUGCAGCUGUGUUCCCUUCUGUGCUCUCUUGUUGCUGCCUAUGAGGUUCGUUUGGUUGUUCAUACAGCACAGCUUACUUGUAACUGCUAUUUAGUCCUCUGGGUGCCACAGUGCUCAGUCAGUUCUCAUGUUGACAGAUACUUGGCAUGCCUAGGCUCUGAUCAAGCGGCCAGUGUCUUUAGGAACGCUCUGUCCAUGUAGUAGGUGAGCAUUAGCACCUGCCAGCGAAAUGGUUGAAGUGCUGGUGUCCCAAAACUCAUAAUCCUCCUAAAGUCAUAUUUAUGUCACUUAAAAACACAACAGGAAAAGGUGCUUAUCUCAAGACCCUAGAGCACUAAGUUUGGUCCCCAGAACCCAUAUAAAGGUGUGUGGGAGACAACUGUCUCCACAAAAUUGCUAACACACGGGCCAUGGUGCUGUUGACCCCCUACUAAUAAAUAAAUAAAGUUUAAUCUAUUAAAAAUCUAUGUUCACCAAAUAAGCGUUUAACAGGAAAAUGUCAUCCAUUGUUCUAAUACUCUACAGUAAAAUAUCAUCCGGCACCCCCCUUUUGUGUUUUUGUUUUGUUAUCCACAGUAUUUCCCCCUUUAGUUAAUUUUCCAUGUUCCCUUUCACAGAUUUAUCCUAUUGGUCAAAAUGCUCUUCUUUGUGUUUUUUAGGAUGUUCUUUUUCUGCUCCUACCCAUUUUCCAAUGGCUAAUCUCCUUCAACAUUCUGCUACAGGGCUGAGAGACAGCAGCCCAAAUCCCAUGCCAAGAAAUUCCCCGUAGAUGUGUGUGGGUCAGAGUGAAAAAGUCUGGCAUCAGAUGGUGGGAGGGCAUGGCACUGGAGUCCUCUGGAAAAUCCCUUGAAUUUCUCUGCAGUCUAGAUUUUUUUUUUCUUUUUAAUAGUGUCAACUGUGUGAUUGGCCUUUGGGGACUGGCGGAUACCGAGUCUGUUGACCUCUCUGUCUGUUUCCUGAGGGGAGGCAGAUUGCACCUGGACAUACUCAGUGUUUCCCUGGAGUUAUUCAUGGAAGCCAAAGAAUAAUUUUUAAAUAGAAACCCGGCACAGGAAGGCAUCCGUGACCAGGCCUUCGGUCUGCUUGCCACUCCCUGCUGAAACCAGGUGCUGUCACUGGCAGAGCUUCCAAGAGCGGGCCAGAGCUUCCAAAACCUGGCCAAAAGAAAACCCUCCAAAAAGUGAGGACUUAGGGAUGGAAUAGACCUGCUGAGUGCCUGUGAGGCCAGAGAUGUUUGCAUUUGGGCCUGGUCCCUCUGGGCUAAAUGUUGUUUUUCUCUGUGGCCUCUACAAUUUUAGUUUCUGAGGGUCUCUGGAGGUUGAUGAAUGGAAAGGUGCUCUGGGCAGUAACUCCUUCAGUUUCGUUGGCAGGCUCCUCUUGGCCCCAAUCCAAAAGGAAAGCAUUUAAAAAGCCGCUGCCUGGGUGGCACCCAGUGCUCCUUAAGGGCUGACGCCCGCAAGUGGCCUGGGCAUCUGGCUCUUCAUAGCUUCCCAGAUGACUCUAACCAUGAGGCCAAAGCCCAGAAGCCACCCAAGCUGACCAGCUCAGCUAUCAAGAAAGCCUACGCUGUUUCCUGCUGUGCUACCAUUGGCUGAAGUCCACCACGGACCAGGCUGGCCACUGAGCUCUGGACACACUGGUCCACAUUGGUCAAUCUUGGACUAGUGAUAAGGCAACACAGGCUCAGAGAGGUGAAGGGACUAAUUCAGGUCUAGACAGCCAAGUUCAGGUUUGAAUCCUGAGGCUUUGACUCCGGUGACCACUGUGUGCACAUCUGCACUCAGAUGCCGCAUGAUUAGAAACUUGACAGCAAUUCAAUUUUUUAAGACUGAAGUAACAAACAGACAGCAAGUCCACCUCACCCAAUCCACUAGGUGCAUUGCAUUCAACCUUCUCUUGUCCUUCAUUUCCAUUGGUUGUGGGGAUGGAACUGUGGCCAGGAAUGGUGAGACUUAGACUGGAGGGAAGAGGCUUGGAGAAAGAAGGAGGGCUUUGGGAUCUGCUUGCUUCCCUUCUUGGGUUCCUGCUGAUCCCAGGGGAGCCUUUGGAACAAGAGCAGCUUCACAGCUCUGAAUUACCUUACAAUAGAGUGCAUGUAAUUACAAAAGCACAAAAUAAACAAAAAGCCAACAAGUUAAAUCGCUAAGUGUUUCUUCUUUUCUUACCUUCACUUUAACAAGAAGUUAAGGCUGCAUCUGCUGUCAGAGUCAAACAUUAGUAAGAUGUGUUUAAGGAGAAUAAAAGGUCAAACCACAGCUGGGAGAAAUGUUUGCAAAAGACAACGUGAUAAAGGACUAGUGUCCAAAGUAUACGAAGAACUCGAAAAACUCAACAGUAAGAAAACAAACAACCCAAUUAAAAAACGGAACAAGGACUUGAACAGACACCUCACCAAGAAAGACAGACAUACGAUUGGCAAGUAAGCAAAUGGAGGCAGGCUCCACAGUAAUGUGUCAUCAUGGAAACAAAAAUUAAAGCUGCAAGAUACCACCGCUUGCCUAUCACAACAGCAAAACUCCAGAACACUGACAGCACCACACAUCCGCAAGGAUGUGGAGCAGCAGAGUCGACAUUCACCGCGCCACCAGGAGCGAGCAGCUUCCUCUGCCCUGUGCCCCCACUAUAUUUACUGCCUCACUACAGACCCAAGUGCAGUCCGUCCCAGGAUCCUGACCUGCAGCCACCCCGAAGAGCCACACCUCUCAAGUACUGGACCAACUCCUAGGAGUGGAUUGGGAUGAGGAAUCAGAGACUACAAUCAGCAGGGAGUUCUGGUGUUCCUAGAUGCCUUGACCUAGAACAAAUUUCUUCACUUCUUUAAAUCUGUGUUUCCUCUUCUGUGUAAUGAGGACAAUAAUCGUAUUGUUUCCUGUAUGGAGGACUAUUGCACAUUCAAUGGGAAAUGAAUGUCAAGCCCUGCCACAGUUAGCUUUUGAUAACUAUGAUUAUGGUGAGUAUGCUGAAGACUCACAGCCCCGCCCCACCAGGAUGCUUUGAUGACGUCCUAAGACCUUGUCCAGGGGAGAGCCCUGCCUCAAGUCCAGUCUGGACCCUAAUACUCCACACUGGCAGCAAGGCUAUCAUAGCCUGGCAUCCUUGCUGGCAUGCUUGUGUUUCUCCCGCUGACCUGAAGAACUCAACUCCUUCAUCGUAUCCCUCACCGUCUUACUGUAUUCCUUUUCCUUAUUUCUAUAGCCUAAAAGCUUGUUCCAAGGUGCCUUGCUCUCAUUGAAUGCCCAUUGAUGCCUCUGACCAGCACCUUGGCUCCAGCAGUGCUCUGAUUUUAGAGAGGAUGAAGACUAUAUCUGGUCCCCUGAGUGCCCCCAGCCCAGUUUCCAUGAAAGCUGGCUGUGUCUUUGGCCCCACCCUCUCUGUGCUGGAGUUUCACUGUGGAAACACUGCUGUUUGUGGCUGCAGGGCAGCUCACAGGUGGCCUCUACAAACUCUGGAACUGUGCCUGUGUAAGCAACUGCCCAAGAUGAGUUACAUGCAUGAAGCUGCAUUUUCUGAGCCUUCCCUCCUCCUCCCCCCACAUUUCCCCAGAAGCUCUCUCCAUUCUUCCUUCUAAACUUUCCUGUGUGUUGAUGGGACUGACACACAUUUCCAGCUCAAAGUAUUUUUUGUUUUUGUUUUCUUCUUCUUUUUAUCCUCCCCCAUUUAUGGUGGUGCAUUCCUUUAAUCCCAGCACUCAGAAAGCACAGGCAAGUGAUCUCUGUGAGUUCCAGGACAGUCUGGUUUAUAUAGUGAGUUCUAGGCCAGUCAGAGCUACACAGUGAGCCCAUAUCUAAAAACAAAACAAAACAAAACAAAAAGCAAAUAAACAAACUGUCCUAGUUUGAUAAGACAUUCUGACCAAAAGCAACUUGGGGAGGAAAAAAGGUUUGUUUGGCUUGCACUUCCACAUCACACUCCAUCGUUCAGGCUGUUAUGUUUUUGUUUAAAUUAGAUAUAAAGAAAAAGAGGAGGCACAAGGUGAGACAUAUUAACCAAUUUAUUAUGGGCCCAGCAGAGUAGAAGGAGUAAGAGAGAAGAGAAACAGAGUUAAUGGCUGAGCGCCAUGGCCGGUCGCCAUAGAGAGAGAGAGAGAGAGAGAGAGAGAGACAGAGAGAGAGAGAGAGAGAAGAGAAGCAGAAGCAAACAGAGAGAGGAGAAGAGCAGAGAGAGAGCGAAGAAGAAGCAGACAGAGAGCGAAGCAGGGAAGUUGGAACAGGCAAGCCAGAGCAGGAACUCAAGGCAGGAACCUGGAGGCAGGAACUGAUACAGAGGCCAUGGAGGAGUGCUGCUCACUGGUUUGCUCCCUAACUUUCUCAUACAACCCAGGACCACCUGCCCAGGGUAAUAACGCCUGCUAUGGCUGGGCCCUGUUGAGCAUCCCAUAUCGAUUGUUAAUCAAGACACCUACAGGCCCAUCCAAUUUCAGCUCAUUCUUCCCACAUGAUUCCAGCUUGCAUCAAGUUGUUUAAAUAACAAACAAAAACAAACAAAAAACCUAACCAGCAUACCAACAAUGUCAAGUUAUGAAAAAAAAAUUAAAAAACCAACUAACCAACACACACACACACACACACACACACACACACUAAACCUAAAAGAAUAUUUUUAAAUUUCCUAUCUCAAAAACUUGUUUUGAACUUUGGUUUUUUGAGAUAGGGUUUCUCUGUGUAGCUUUGGAGCCUAUCCUGUCACUCGCUCUAGAGACCAGGCUGGCCUCGAACUCACAGAGAUCCGCCUGCCUCUGCCUCCCCAGUACUGGGAUUAAAGGCGUGCGCCACCAACGCCUGGCGUUUUGAACUUUUAUUGAGGUUACAUAUAAGAUAUAUAAUAAGGAACACAGAUUUCAAGACUAUAGUCCAGUGAAAUGUUGCACUUCUCACACACAUGCAUAACUAUACAUAAACACACACAUGUACAUAUAAAAGCUUAUACAAUCUUACUUCUCAGGUUGUGAUACAAAGCAUUUUCAGUGUCCCACAAGUUCCCCCAUGCUCCUUCUCUGUUAAUGUAGCAUCCCCUCACACACAACUUUGAGAACUUUAUCAACACAGGUUGGUUUUUUUUUUCCCCCUGUUUUUAAAAACACCUGAAUGGGACCAGGUAAUACACACUCAGUCACAUGUGUGUGACUUAGUACAUGUCUAUGAAGGUCUUCAUGUUGUGUAUAUCAGCAAGUUUCAAUUGCUGUGUGUUAGUCUGGUGCAUGAAUAUUUCAUUUUUAAUUCUACUACUUAUAGGCAUUUGGGCAGUUUGCAUUUGGGAGCUGUUUGGAAUUAGCUUUCUACGGACAUUCACAUACAUGAUUCAUGUUCACACAUUCUCUUGGCUGUAUACCCAGCAAUAUAAUUGACAGCUCCCAGGGCACACAUAGGUUAGCCAUAGUAGAUAUUGCCAAAAUAUGUUCCAAAAUAUUGCACUAACUUAUACUCCUACCAGUAAGGUAUGAGUGGGUUAUUACUCAAUGGCCUUGUCAACACUUCCUCUUGUUACUCUUAAUUUUAGUCAUUUGGGUGGGUGUGUAAUAGUAUUUCAUUGUUAUUUUAAUUUGUAUCUCCUGAUGAAUAGUGUGUUAAGUGACUUUUAUAUGCCAUUGGCCACUUGGAGAUCUUGUUUAGCAAGGUGCCUGCUUGAAUGUUUCACUCACUGGAAAAGGGCAGAUUGUUUUAUCUGUGUUACUUGUCUCAGCUUUUACUACAUACCCCGGCACUAACCCAUCACCAGGUGUGAGCAUCUUUUCUCUGUGACAUGCUUCUUCCCUCUCCUAAUGCUCCUAGUAAAGACGAGGCUUUUUUCAUGUUAAUAUAGUCUAGUUGAUCUUUUUUUUUUUUUUUUUCAGUGCUUUCAUUAAAGCCAGAGACUUGUACCUGGUAGGCAAGAGCUUUACCGUGAGCCAUAACCUAUCCUCAUACUCGUCUUUACUUAAUUCUCUGUCUUAACUCUCCAGUAGCUUUUAUAAUUUUAUUUGUAUCUAUCCAAAGAUUUCAAUACCAUAUGUCUUCAUGAGAGAUUUUUGUUGUUGUUGAUCCAGUUCAUAACAGAGAGAUUCUUUCAAGUUGAAUGUGCUUAUCCUUCAGCACUGAAGGUUCUCAGCUCCUUAACCAUCAUCUCUCUUGUAGUCUCUCUCUUGGAGCUUUUGAGAGCCUUUUAUUAUAGAUUCCUGGUCUCUUACAUUUUCUUGUAUGCUUUUUAUCUCUCCUCUCUGUAAUCAGUACAUGUUGGAUGUUUUCCUCAGGAAAUCAUUUAUUUAUUUGUUUGGUUUGUAUUUUUAAGUGUGUGUGUGUGCAUGUGUGUGUAUGUGUGUGUGUUAUGUCUGUGUAUAUGUGUGUCCAUGCGUGCAUUCGUGCGUGCGUGUGUGCAUGGGUGUGUGUGUGUGUGUGUGUUGGGAAGUAGCCAUAGAAACAGAGAAUGAUUUAGACACAGAAGUCAAGAGAAAUUCUCUGGAGGAGCAGCAAAGACCACUGAUCACUGUGAAGGAGAAAAAAGAAUAGGGAUGAACAUGGGCUCCUGUCCUGAGUCCCCUGCGGGGACAGAGUUCUCAACCUGCAAGAGAGGAGAGAAUAUGGCAUGAAGUAAAGCAGAGGACUCUACUUCCUGACUGAAAAUCUGACAGGGACACAAGAGACAGAAUGAUACUGAUUACAGAGAAGACACUGGAGUGUGGACCUCAGCCUGGAGCUAAGAUUUUAUCUCUUUGCCUGCCCACCUGUCCUGCUCACCUGUCCAUCUGACCUGCUCUCUUGUCCUUCUGUCCUGCUUUGCCAUGUCAUUCUGGGGAUUAUAAAGCAGUUACGUUCUUGAUUAAGAAGUUCUUUUACUAUAGGAUAAUUUUCACUAAACUCUUUCUUUUCUAGAGUUCUCUUGACCCUUUCUUUCGAGGCACUUCCUGCCUCGAAUUCCCUCAGUGAUGGACGAUCACUUGGAAGUGUAGGAUGAAAUUAUCCCUUUCCUUCCCCAGGUGUUUUUGGUAUUUUAUCACAGCAACAAAGAGCCAACUAGGAUAUGUGGUAAAAUGUGAGUCAUAAAAAAUAUGAGACAGGGUGGGGAGAAGAGGGAACAGCCAAACAGGAAAGCAGAGAAGGCAGAGAAGAGGGAGGAAGCAGAGAGGUGCAGGACACAGGCCAAGAGAUAGGUUAUUUAAUGGUGGUACUACAGGACCCGUGACACUUGAGGCCCAGAAUGACACUGCUAUGGUCAUAGCCCACAUUGCAGCAUGUCUCUGCAGACUCUAGACACUGUAUGUCAGUCCAGGCUGCUACUGGCCAUCCUCCUUAACCUUACAUGUAUCUAGUUAUUACUGUUAACUUGCGGGCAGGGCAGUACAGUGACUUCAGGAUCCCUCAUCCAAAGGGGAUCCUUGGAUCUCAAGUGUAUGACUUAUCACUAACUUUCUCUUCCUUGGACUGAGAGCCCUUGGCUUCAUAUCUCCUCCAUGACAUUGAUCUUUGGUGGGGUCCUUCAUAAGAGACAAGCAGUGAACAUAAGUGGCAACCCUACCCCAGAAAUCACAGCGAUGACCCGGUUUCAGAUUUUUGCUUUGCUGUAGCACCCUCCAAGGUGAACUGAGUUGGUGAAUGAAAUGAAUGCCAACAUGACUGUCAGAGAAAGUGGCUAUUGGAGUGAAGGUAGGACAGGUCUCUUGGAGUCAACAACAGCUUGUGUGACUCAGUCCUUGAGCAGAAGCAGUGUUGAAAGCCCAGCUGGUAGCCAGAAUCCUUAGUUACAGCGGAGCUGCAAAAACAACAGAGAACAACAGACAGCUGACACCCCGCCUAGGUUGCUGGCCACAAAGGUCACCAUUCAGGGUUCAGGGGAGAAAGCCUCAAUGUGAACCCUCUGGAGAGCAAUCUCCUUUCUGGGAAGCUUUGCAUUCUUUGGGGUCCAGAUGGAAGUGCUGGAACCACUCCAAGAGUCUCCCCAAAUAGUGUUUGGGUGAAAUGAAUGCAUAGAAAGUUCUAGGAAGGGCCUUGCACAUCUUCCCUACUUCCCUGGUGGGCUCUAAAGUAUUCUCAAUAGAAACUGUGGGGGCAGAAUAGCAAGGAAGAGGGGGUUAGGAUUUUGUUGAAUCCUCUCCACCAAGGGAGGGAUGCAUUUGUUUAAAUUGAUAUUUGUGAGUCUGGAGAGAUGGCUCAGUCCUCUUCUAGAGGACCUGGGUUUGAUUCCUAGCAUUAAAAUAGUGGCUCACAACUGUCUUAACCCUAGUUACAGGGGAUUGAAGGCUCUCUCCUGGCCUGCAGGAGCAUCAGAUACAUACAUGGCUUGUACAUGACAGGCUAAACACCUAAACACAUAAAAUGAUUCAAAACACUAAAUUUCCACUUGUUCUUUAAGAACUUGCUAAAGAUCCAUCUCCUCCAGUCUGUUUCCUCUGGACUUCUGAUCCUCCCUCCUGUCUCAUGAUGCCCUCUUCUGCAUUCCCGAAGCCUGUGCACAAUAUCUAUUACCACUCAAACCACUCUGUGCUGUGCUUGGCGGUUCUAUUUUUACUCUUUGCCACCUAACCAUCAGUAUCCCUCGGCAGGUCUUACUAGUUGACUUUCUGCUCCAGCUUCUAUGAAGUGGUCCAGCACUCGGGAGUAACAAAUAAAAAUUGAACUGAAUCGUUCUUAGAAACGUUGGGGUGGCUUAUUUUGGAAUUGUGAAAAUUGAUUAUCCUAAAAGUCUCUGCAGGUAAGAAUCAUUUGUAUGUAUGGAUCACAUGUGUAAUUUAAUGUCCCCGACACCUUGUCCAUCAUUGCUGGAACCUCACAAGCUGUGCAGGCAUUUGUGAAGCUAGCCAGGAAUCCCAGGCACGAGUGAGGAGAAAGCCUGCCCUGCAUCUGCCCGUGCACCUGGCUUGCAGAUAUCUCCCACAAAUUAGACAUGGACUAUGUUGCUUAAUUCUUAUCAAUUUGACACACUUGGGAAGAAAGAGUCUCAACUGAGAAAUUGCCUCCAACAAAUUAGCCUGUAGGCAACUCUGCUGGGCAGUUUCUUGAUUGGUAACUGAUGGGGAAGAGCCCUAUCGUUUGUAGAAAGAGCUACUGCUGGCCAAGUGGCCCUGGGUGGAAUGAGCAAGCAAGCUGAGUGAGCUGUGGAAGGCAAGCUAGCAAGCAGUACUCCUCCAUUGCCUAUGCUUCAGUUUCUGCUUCCAGGUUCCGGCCUUGACUUCCUGCUGUGACUUCCCGUCACGGUGGACUAUUAACUGUAAGAUGAAAUAAACCCUUCCUUCCCUAGGUUGCUUUUGGCCAUGGUGUAUAUCGCAUCAAUAGAAAGCAACCAGGACCAGAGCUCUUCAUUCUUGAAAUGUUUUCUCAUUGUGAAUUUCCUUCUGGACAGCUCCCCUCUGGGAUUCUAGAAUUAUCUAAACAGAACACCAAGGGGCCUGAAAUUGCCAUGAAAUAGAAGAACUUGAGAAAUUUUACCAACACCUUCUUCCUCUCAGAACUGCAAGGCAUAGAGUCCUGGCAGAGGUGUUCACUGUGGGCUCUUUGUUGCCAAUACUGGGCAAGGCACCCCCCUCAGCAAGUGAUGGCUGGUACUGUCUGUUGCACCCUCUUUCUUAUCAUUUUAGAAUUGGGGAGAAGAGCUCACAUGUCACACUUAUCUGCAGUUAACAGCUUGCCCUGGAGGCAAGGACUGGGCUGGGCUAAUACUUAGAGGAGGACGGGCAGCCUGAUGAGUAGACACCACAGAGAGAAGGGCAGGGUCAGGGAUGCACUACCUCCUGCCUUGUGAUCUUACUCAGCAUCUUGAUUGUUCAGAGUUGCUUUCAAAGCUCCUGGUUCAUGUGUCCUACCUGCCAAUGCCCUUCCUGCAAAGCCAUGGGGCAGGACAGCCUUGGUUCCACAAGGACUUUUUUUCUCUUUGAAGACAACAAGGGACUGGUAACAUAAAUGAAUAAUAUAAUAAGCCAGGCAUAGGCAGGCUGGCAAAUUUGGACUUUAGACCCUCAAAGCAUCACCCAUGAGAAGAACCAAGCCAAUCUCUAGCAGCACAUCCCAGGAAAGGAGUAGCAGAGAGAUUUCCCCUCAGAGGAACAAUGCAGCUCUGUUCUGCUUGUGUGAUCACCACACAAGUCAACUAAUACCACUGGGGACACAUUUUUUUUUUUACCUUAUUACUAUCAGGAGAAAACAAUAACUGUGCUCGUCAGCUGUGAGCACAGCUGUAAUUUCAGCGUGUAAUUUCUCUGUAAACUCGGCCUCUAAAACGUGCUCUAUAUGAUACCAUAUGCAUUUCUUACAUAUUCUGAGAAUUCUGCAACUGGCAAGAAGGUAAGAGGAGACCUGGGAGGCAGUAAGCAAGCCUUGGUUCCAUUCAUGAACAUGCAGAUCAGCUGGGAGGAAAGAGAGCGGAAAGUAUAGCUUUUCCACUAACCCUCUGCUCACUGUGGGACUAAAAAAUGUACUCAUAUACCUCUGCAAGGAGAAAGAAGACUGAGCUGCACGCUAUAAAUGUAUUUGACCAAUUGUGACAUUUUAAAAAUAAGGUUUUAACUGGUAAAAAAAACAAGCCAGGCAUAGGAAUAGGAAUAGGAAUAGGAAUAGGAAUAGGAAUAGGAAUAGGAAUAGGAAUAGGAAUAGGAAUAGGAAUAGGAAUAGGAAUAGGAAUAGGAAUAGGCUGCCACACAUCCAGUUAAAUCUGUAUUUCAAAUAAACAAAUAGUUAUUUUUUAACAUACUUAUGUCUCAACUAUUGUCUAGGAUAUACUUAAGCUAAAUAUUAUUAUUAUAUAAGUCUAUAUAACUGUACACUUAAAAAUAGUUAAGGUGAGCCAGUGUGAUAGUUCAGCAGGUAAAGACUCUUGUUGCCAAACCUGACAACUUGAGAUUGAUCCCUGAAACCACAUGGUAGAGAGACAAUCAACUCCUGAAAGUUGUCCUCUGACCUCUGCACAGAUGCUGUGCCACACCUGCAUAUGCACACACAGACACACACAGACACAGACACACACACACACACACACACACACACACACACACACACACACGUAUAUAUAAUGUAUAUAUAUGUAUAUUUAUAAUGAAUUCUAAUUAAAAGCAGUUAGGAUGGUUUUAUUUUUUUCUUUCUCUCCAUUUUUAUUUAAAUUAGAAACAAGAUUAUUUUACAUGCCAAUCCCAGUUCCCUCUGCCUCUCCUUCUCCCCUGCCCUCUCCCCUGCCCCCCCACCCCAACUAACACCCUACCUAUCACAUACCCUUUCUGCUCUCCAGGGAUGGUGAGGCCUUCUGUAGGGGUCUUCAGAGUCUGUCAUAUCCUUUGGGAUAGGGCCUAGGCCCACUCCCUGUGUCUAGACUCAGGGAGUAUCUCUUUAUAUGGAAUGGGCUCCCAAAUUCUAUUCCUCUGCUAGGGAUAAGUACUGAUCUACUACAAGAGGCCCCGUAGAUUUCCGAGGUCUCCUCACUGACACCCACAUUCAUGGGGUCUGGAUCAGUCCUGUGCUGGUUUCCCAGCUAUCAGUCUGGAACCAAGAGUUCCCCCUUGUUCAGGUCAGCUGUUUCUGUGGGUUUCACCAGCCUGGUUUUGAUUCCUUUGCUCAUCAGUCCUCCUUCUCUGCAACUGGAUUCCAGUUCAGUUCAGUGUUUAGCUGUGGCUGUCUGCUUCUACUUACCCCAGCUGCUGGAUGAAGGCUAUAGGAUGGCAUAUAAAUCAGUCAUCAAUCUCAUUAUCAAGGGAGGGCAUUUAAGGUAGCCUCUCCUCUGUUGCUUAGAAUGUUAGUUGUAUCAUCAUUGUAGAUCUACAGACAUUUCCCUAGUGCCUGAAUUUCUCUUUAAACCUAUAAUGGCUCCCUGUAUUAUGGUAUCUCUUAUCUUGCUCUCCUCUUUCCCCCAACUCAAACUUCCUGCUCCCUCAUGUCCUCCUCACCCCUCCUCUUCUCCCUUUCUCAUUCUCCAGCUCUCUCUUUCCUCCCCUCAUGCUCCCAAUUUGCUCAGGAGAUCUUGUCCCUUUCCCCUUCUCCAGGGGACCAUGUAUGUCUCUCUUAGGGGCCUCCUGUUUCCUAGCUUCUCUGGCAGUGUGGAUUGUGGGCUGGUAAUCCUUUGCUCUAUGUCUAAAAUCCAUAUAUGAGUGAGUACAUACCAUGUUUGUCUUUUUGUGACUGGGUUACCUCACUCAGAAUGGUUUCUUCUAAUUCCAUCCAUUUACCUGUGAAUUUCAAGAUUCCAUUGUUUUUUCCCCCACUGAGUAGUACUCCAUUGUGUAAAUGUACCACAUUUUCUCUAUCCAUUCUUCAGUUUAGGGACAUCUAGGUUGCUUCCAGGUUCUGGCUAUUACAAAUAAUGCUGCUAUGAACAUCGUUGAGCAGAUGUCCUUGUUGCAUGAAUGUGCUUCUUUGGGGUAUAUGCCUAGGAGUGGAAUUGCUGGAUCUUGUGGUAGAUUCAUUCCCAUUUUCCUGAGGAAUCGCCAUACUGAUUUCCAAAGUGGCUGUACGAGUUGGCACUCCCAUCAGCUGUGGAGGAGUGUUCCCCUUUCUCCACAUCCUCUCCAGCACAAACUGUAAUUGGUGUUUUUGAUUUUGGCCAAUCUGACAGCAGUAAGAUGGUAUCUCAGAGUUGUUUUGAUUUGCAUUUCCCUGAUGGCUAAGGAUAUUGAACACUUUCUUAUGUGCCUUUCAGCCAUUUUAGAUUCCUCUAUUGAGAAUUGUCUAUUUAGUUCUGUACCCACUUUUUAAUUGGAUUAUUUGGUGUUUUGGAGACUAGCUUCUUGAAUUCUUUGCAAAUUUUGAAGAUCAACCCUCUGUCAAAUGUGGGGUUGGUGAAUAUCUUUUCCCAUUCUGUGGACUGCCGUUUUAUCUUGCUGACUGUGUCCUUUGCCUUACAAAAGCUUCUCAGUUUCAGGAGGUCUUAUUUAUUAAUUAGGAUGGUUUUUAAAAACUUCGUGUUACAUCUGAGAGACUAUGGUAACUGGGUGCCCUGCAUUUCUGUGUGCUAACCCGGACCCUGUCAAAGGGAAGGCAGGACAUCCCCUCCUACUCUGCCUUUCAUGCCAGUAUUAUACACAUAGCCUGAAGGACUCUUCUGGAUUUGGAAUUGGAAUCAGGCUUCUACUGAGAAAGGACGAGCCCCAGAGUCUAGGAGGAAGAAGAGAUUCUGGAUCCAGAGCCUGGGAAGCCACAAACCCUGAGGAGGGGCCCACUGGGGUGCCUCAUGGGCCCACAGAGGCUGCCCUCCAGGGAGGGAAGACAGACUGAAUCCCAGGUGCUGACAGAUCCUGCAGGAUGGGCCCUGGCAGAAGCCAGGAAUCAAUGACCUGGAUAUAGCUGUCACCACCUCCUUGCCUCUUGGCAGUUACACCUGGCAGUCUUAAGACUGCAAAGCCAUGCUUAGGUGCUCUUGAAACUGAAGCAAACGUCAGGUACACAGAAAAAUCUGUGCUUAGUCAAAAUACCAGAGUGAGCAAUUAUGUUAUCUGUUGACACGAGGAUAGGCCAUAGGCUUUCUUUAGUUAGUGAACUCCCCUCAUGCAUUUAGAACAGGAUUCUAUUUAGAGAAGGAAGAAUAACAGGAUUGUCACAGCACCAUGAGGAAGGGCAGGGAUGGUGAAAGCAAGUUUGUCUUCUGUGAGGGGAAGGGCUGGAGACAUCUGCAGGGAACUAGGAUGGCUCUGUGUGUGUGUGUGUAUGUGUGUGUGUGUGUGUGUGUGUGUGUGAGAGAGAGAGAGAGAGAGAGAGAGAGAGAGAGAGAGUGUAAGUGAGUGUGUCAGCCAUCCCACUCCUUUCUGGAUCUUCAGAGCCAGUCUCUGUAUCACAGUAACACACAGUCACAUUGUGAGUGUGAGGUAAGGCUGCUGUGAGCUUCAUGUUUGGAUAAGGCAUGCCUGUGUACUGGAACCCUGGUCCCUGUGUAAGGUGGCAAUGUGUGGGAACUCCAAGGGAUGAGUCUAGGAAAUAGCAGUCAGGCCGUGAUCUGUGAUAUUGUAGCACAGAUAAAAAAAGAAAGACCUGUUUAGGGGGCUGACAGGUUAAUACUUGUGGCCAAGCCGCAAUUGUUGUCAGGGUUAGCUACAUUGUAGAUAUGUAUGAAACACACUUACCUUUAGGUUGCUCAUUUAUGAAAUAUUAAAAAUCUCUUACAUCUGUAAGUAAACAUCUUAUUUCAAUGAAGUCUUUAUCCAACACACAGUAGCUGUAUCUAGCGCACAGUAGGUGUUUAGCAUAUUGGUUUCUUUUUCUUCUCUGGGACAUAACAUCUGAAAGAAGCGAUUUCUUUCUUUCUGAGACAGGGUUUCUCUGUGUAACAGUCCUGGCUGUCCUGGAACUUGCUUUGUAGACAAGGCUGGCCUCGAACUCACAGAGAUCCACCUGGCGUCUGCUUCCCAAGUGCUGGGAUUAAAGGCAUGCACCACCACCACCUGGCCAACAGAAGCAAUUAAAGGGAGAAAGAUUUACUUUGACUGAUGUCAUGGUUUUAUCCCUCAUGGUUGCAAGAGAUGGGAGCAGAACUACUUAUAGGACACUGGACCAGAAACAGGAGAAAGGGACCAGACACAAGUCACGUGGUCCUUCCCUUGUGACACACCUCCACCAGCCAGGCCUCUCAACUUCCCAAAACAGCACCAGCAGCUGGGGACCAGAUUCAAAUAUGGGAGCCUGUGAGGACCACUUCAGAUUAGAACCAUAACCUAGUGUUUGUUGAAUGACUAAAGUAAAUGAAAAUUGGGAAUUCAUAGUAUAAAAUAAGACAGAGAUUAAGUACUCAUAAGGAAAAACAAACAAACAAAGAAACAAACAAAAAACUGGUCAACAUCCAUCCCUAGGGAUGUUAUUUUUUCUCCUUUGAAGUUUGGGUUUUCAUUUCCUGACAUGUUCAACUAUGGUAAAAAAUAUUAAAUAGUAGGUUUUUUAAAGAUUUUAUUUAUUUAUUAUGUAUACAACAUUCUGCUUCCAUGUAUAUCUGGACACCAGAAGAAGGCACCAGAUCUCAUAACAGAUGGUUGUGAGCCACCAUGUGGUUGCUGGGAAUUGAACUCAGGACCUCUGGAAGAGCAGCCGGUGCUCUUAACCUCUGCGCCAUCUCUCCAGCCCUAAAUAGUAGAUUAUAGAAACAAAAUAUUCAUACAUUUCAGAUUGCAUUCUGUACUGAAUAAUGGGAUGAGGUCUUGUACCAGCCUACUGUCCUGCACAGGAUGUGAAUGGCCCCUUGUCAGUGUGCCCAUGCUGCAAGUGCCACCUGCCUGCUAGCCACUUGGCACACGCCUCCAUCAGCUAGAUGGCCUGGUCUCUGGGUACCUGUGCUCAGGGCAUUCUUAAUGUACCCCGUGACGACCCAGAGUGCAUAACUAAUGUUGCCAGUGACUCAGAUCUGCCAAAGAGAGCCUGGGAAGUGAAAAUGCUAAGGCACAAUAAGAUUGUAAACAAACAAAUAGUUCUAGCCAGGUUUCAUUGUGAGACUCUGGCUACCUUGCACUGUCGACCAGGCUGGCCUUGAACUCAGAGAUCUGCCUGCCCCUGCCUCCUGAGUGCUGAGAUUAAAGACAUUUGCUACCAAGUCCAGAAUCAUAAGAUAUUGAGAGAGAGAGAGAGAGAGAGAGAGAGAGAGAGAGAGAGAGAGAGAGUCCAUGUAACUAUUGCUUUAUUGUUUUCUUAGUUUCAUUUCUUUUAUAAUAAGAUACCCUGGGGAAAAGCAGCUCUGGGGAGAAAGAGGUUUAUUUCAGCUCAUAGGUCACAGCCCAUCGUUGUGGGAAAGUCAAGGCAAACACUUCAGCUAGUCACAGCACAUCCACAUCAGAAGCAGAGGAAAUGUUCACAUGCUCACUUGCUGUGCCCAGUUCUGUUUCUCCACUCUUACACAGUUCUGGACCCCCUGCCUAGGGAAUGGUACCAUCAACACUGGGCUUAGUGUUUCCUCCUCAAUUAACUUAAUUAAGACGACCCUGUGCAGACAUGCCCACAUGUGACCCAAUACAAACAAUCCUUCCUGGAGCCUCUUCCAGGUGACUCAAGGAUGCAUCAAGUUGACAUCUCACUAAAUAUGACAAUUGUCAUCAUCCUUUUACUUUACUAGUUAUUUUUUUACCCCAGUAUGUACUUUCAUGGGAAAACGGCAUACAGAGGGUUGAGACCCUCUGUGGUUCUAGCCAUCUACUGGGACCAUGCCCCUGAGAACAAAGAGAACCACUGUAGUUUCAGGAAAAUCAUAGUCCUGGGUUUCACAUCCUUUCAAAUCAAAAUGCACUGAUCAGCACUGAGCUAAACCAGCUGCCCCUCCUCCCAGAAGUCAGAGAAGCCGAAUCACUGUGUGUGUGUGUGUGUGUGUGUGUGUGUGUGUGUGUGUGUGUGUGUGUGUGUGUGUUGGGGUUGGGGGACAAGUUCAAGAAAGUGAUUGCAAUGAAAGCUCCCAGCCCCGUUGCCAGCUGUCUCAUGACCCCAUGCCUACAGUGGCACCAGCUCUCCUGUGGGCAGCCUGGUUCUGCAGCUGGCUUCCUGCCCUGCUCUCCCUGAAGCAGGCUCUCACAGGGAUUAUUGCCGGGCAGCUUUCUCCCUUCCUGGAUGUGAGAGCCACUGCCGGCCCUCUGCACUCUCUUGGGAAGGCCCCACCCAACCUGUAGAGUUCCACAAAGCUUUCUGGAGUGGAGCCUAGGGAAACCGAGGUAGUGACUGACCCCAGGACUGACCUCUGGAGGCUGGGCCCUGCAAGUAGAUCCCUCUGCUUUCCCUGACACAGCAGCAACUUUUGGCCCAUCCAGCCCAAAGAAGGUAUUGCUGAUGCCGGGUAGAACCCCUGACCUGGACCCCUCUAAGACAAACAUGCAUCCAGUCAAGACCUGGGCCAAAAGGAAGACACACAUAGGUGAUCACAGAAGACCUUGACCGUGUUUAUUUGCAGGCAGGGGAUGACACUGGAAACCCCGAGAUGCAGAAGGUACUUGCUACUUAGGCUGAUGACACCACGGCGAUUUGGAUGAGACUAUAAUCAUUAGUACAUCUUACUGCUUCACAGGGCGAUGAGAUAGGAAACAGAACCCUGCUCAAUGGCUUUCAGCUGUACCUGGGCUCUUGUUUAUAGGUGCGCGUGUGCGUUUUCUCAAGCUUAAACUUUCAGAGUUAUGUAACCCUUCCCCUUGGCUAGCCACCAGACUUCCAGAUUAGCUGGAGGUUUCCUGUGCAAGUUGGGAGUUGGCAUGGGCAGAGCCAUGUGACCGUGGUGCUUCCUGGGUCUGGUAGGGGCUGCCCUGUAAGGAAGGGCCUGUCUGUGUUGUGGGUCAGAAGAUAAUAUCUAGCAGGCAGAGUAUGAUUCCUGACCCAGAAGAAUUCAGACCAGCAGUCAUUGUCAGUUCUCAAGCUGGAGCCAUCUAAAGUUAGAUGAGAAAAAAAAAAAAAAAAAAAAAAAAAAAAAAGACCCAUGCAUUGGUAGGAACUACUUAAAAGAAAAUAAAACAUUCCAGUUAUUCAAGGUCUCAUGUAAAUGGUGGUUCAACACUGUCUGGACAGGAGCUCUGUGGUUCCUGGAAGCAGUGUGUGGUAGAGCUCAGGUCCCGAAGGCCUCCCCUUCCUGUUGUCUAUCUCCUUCUAGCCACUGAUGAAUACCAGUGCUCUGGCUCCUUCUGUUGGGGUUUUGAUAUGGUGAGAGGGAGAUGAUGUGUCCACCAGACAUUCCAAACCUCUGUGUGUGGUGAUUCAUUUUACAUGGCGUCUUGGCCAAGGUGUCCAGAUGUUUGGUUUAAGCUCAUUCUGGGUGUGUCUAUAAAGAUAAAUUUGGGCUGUUUUAUUUCAUUUUGUUUGGGAUGAUACUAACAUUUAAAUUGUUGGACUUGAUGUAAAACUCUGUUUGUUGUUUAUAGCAUGGGUGGGUCUCUUCCAAUCAGUUGCAGGCUUUAGCAGAACAAAGCUCUAAGGAGGAACUCUGCCUGAAGACUGCUUUGGAGUUGUGUGACUUUUCCUGGGGAAAUGUGAACCAAUGUCUAUUAAUUUAGAUAGGGCACUGACAACUGACCAAAACAAUGCUUCCACUGAAGUCCAGCUUGGAGUUUGUUAUCGUUACUUACAGGAGUAUUGGAGGCAGAGGCAGAAGGAUCCCUGAGAGUUUGAGGCCAGCCUGGUCUACAGAUCGAGUUCCAGGACAGGCUCCAAAGCUACAGAGAAACAAGUGCCACUCACUUAAAGGUUUCAGGUUGGGUUCUAGUCUUUGCAAAAUCUUGCCCACUUCUGAUUUGUCCUAAUCCAAAGUUGAAGCCUCCCAGCGGUCCAGUGAGAACCCAGGAUCUUCACACAGCUCUCCAACAUCAAGACCCAAUGAGGCUGUCAGUGACUCUGCUCCUGCCCCCAACUGCCACUUACUACUAAGCCUCCCUACCUUCAAGGUUUAUACUGCUUAAAAUGUCACAAACAUCUGCAGGUGUCUAUGUCUACAUGCGGGUAUGUGAGCAUGCAGCCAGAGACUUUGGGUCCCCUGGAGCUGGAGUUACAGUUGUGAGCCACCUGAUGUCGAUGUCAAGAACUAAACUCAGGUCCUCUGGAAGAGCAGCACAAACUCUUAACCGCUGAGUCAUCCCUUCAGGCUCUAGUUAUUUUUUAUUUUUUAUUUAAUUUAAUUAAAAAUAUUUUGGGUGUGUAUGUAUGCAUGUGCUUGUGUGUGUGAGCACCUGCUUGCUUCAGGUUUUAUAAAGGUUUUAUAAAGAUCAGAGGUCAACUUUCAGGGGUCAGUUCUCAUAACCCACCUUGUUGGAGGCAGAAACUCUUCUGUUUGUGAACUGUAGUGACUACUUCAGGCUAACUGGCCAUUGAGCUUUCAGAGGGGGUGGUUCCCCUGUCUCAGCCCCCCACCUCACCAUAGGAGUGCCGGGUCACACAUGCGUGCUACUGAAUCCAGCUGGUACAUGUGGGUUCUAAGGAUCCAAAACUCUUACCCACGAGCCACCUUCCUAGCCGCCAAAUUUUCAACAAUGAUUUCCCACACAUUUACUAGCCGAUGUCCCACACGUCUCUGUCAGUAAAAACCUUUCUUCUCCUGUUUGCUGCAUUGUUAAUUCAUCCACUUCUGGAGUAUGAACUCACAGAUUUUUUUUUAAAUUGUGAAACAAAUGUUUAUUGGAAUUUUUCAAAUUAGUUGUACAAUUAACUCAUGGUAAGUUACCGGGCAGAUUUUAUAUUAUUUCUUUAAGACUACCGUUUCUCAGUGACUUCAAACUUUAAGUUUUCAAAUUUGAAGGUAGGAGAAGCUCUGCUCAGCUCUUGCUACUACUCUGGGGCAGUAGCAGCAGGUUCCCUAAUGUCUGGCUUUGAUACGGACUCUCUUACCCCAUCAGUGAUGAGUUUCUCUACAGGAACAAUUUCCUUAUUAAAUACUACUGCCAUCACACAAAUGUUCCUCAACAAGUGCUCAGAGACAGCCCAGCAAAGGACAGUGGAGAGCCCUCAGAGCCUCAGAAGACCAGUGUCCUGUGGUGCUUGCACUGAGUCCUGAUCUGCCACAGGUGCCACCACAAUUCUAGACAUGUUUUUUCAAUGGCUUAGAAUUCACUUCUUCCCUCCCCAUGUUGGUGCUUAAGUUGCUCCAGGACUGGCUGGUAGAAGCCCCCUCCUCUGUUCUUGUACUUGCCCCCUAUCAUGUUUAAAGUUCUCACUCAGUGUAUGACAAAACAACAUUUAGCCAAAGAAAGGAAAAAAAGAGAAAGCCAUGGGAGAGGUAGAGAGAGACAAAGAGGGGCUAUGUGAGGAGAUUGACAGCACAGGGGCAGACUAGGGGCCUUCUGUGAGAAGCGGCCCGUCCACCAUGACUUAAAGGCCAGAGUGCUGCAUAUGAGAGGCAUUGGUGGCUCCUGCACUCUGACACCAUUCUUGACAGUUAUAAAUGAUGCAGGCACAACCCAAGAGGGACUGGGGAGUGGAGAGGGGAAUGAUCCUCAGUUUUUGGCAUCCAUUCAAGCAUCUAGACACAACUUUAUUUGAAAUGAUUCCAUAUUUUUCAAUUGUAUAUACAUGUCUGUAUAUAGUAUACACAUAAAAAUAUAUGCAUAUAAUAUAUAUUAUACAAGUAUAUCACACACACAUAUAUUUGGUCUAAUGUAUAUUUUCAUUCUUCGUAUGCCCUCCACCCCCAGCUCUGCUCGACUUUUUACUGUGUUGACCUUGUUUUGGCUAGCCUCUUCUCCCAAGGAAGCAAGAGUCCCUCCUGAGCAAUUCUAUAUUAACCAACAAAAAGAAGCCUCUUUGCCAUGGCUGGGACAAAAGUCCUUCAGUGUCUGUGACUAGCUCAGAGCCUUUCUACACCUGGUUGGGUAGCACUCUCCUGAGCCAGGCCUGGGCUAUGAACUCUCCUGUAGAACAGGAAGUGUGGGUGAAGCCUGCCAAAACACACAGGCUGGAAGCACAGAGAUGGCCAGCUCACCCAAGAACUCUGGAGUGCACUUACCACAAUGAGAAAGGAAAAUUUGGAAACCUGACUGAAAAAAUCUCAUGCAUUGUGUGGGGAACACCGGGCAUGAUGACUGUGAGAUUGGCUGAUAAACCAAGGUGUAGCCAUUUUGUCAGGACAGCCCUUCCUCCCUCUGCACAAGACCCCUUAUAAGAAAGAAGCCCCUGAAGCACCCUUGGAGAUUGAAGCCCCUGUCCAUCUGUCCUUGCUGCUGGCCUGGGGACAGAUGACAGAACUGCCAGAGAGAGGAUGAAAAUAGGUCCAGCCCUUCUUCCUAAGGAAGCUUUCCAUCAAGACGGGCUCCUGUUUCAUCAUUUUCUCCUCUGCCUGGCAGGUCCCACAGGGACGUGUCUGUCACAGUGCUGUGUUACGUCAUGUCAGAUGGCAAUCGAAGGAGCUGUUAACUUAAGCUGACAGAGAGCUGUGGCAAUCUGCUUAUCUGGCUGCCACCCUCACUGAGUAAAGGGCCAUUAUCAGAAUUAUUCACACAGUGUUACAGCAGCUGCAAGUCUACAUUACAUCACCCUCACUUUAGUCACUCAGCACAAAUGGGACCUCAAAGGAGACUGCCCCCCCCUCCAUGAGAGGCCACCCUUCCCCUACACACCCAACAAGAAUGUGACAUCACAUUAGGUCAACCUCCAGUGUGCCUUUCUGUGCCCAGGAUCUACCUUCUGUGUUCCUUCCACAGGUGUGAGCAGUCACACAUGAGACCCCUGUUGAGAUGCCUUCCAAUUAGACCUGUUCUUGGAAUGGUCCUUCCAAUGCUGGUGUUCAGUGGUCCAAAGCUAUUCCACUGACCUGUAAACUUCAGACUGGUCUUCCACAAGUGCUGUGUGUUUCACACAAGGAUUGCAAAGGAGAAAACACAAUGUUCUUAGGUCGAGGCUCUUUCAAGAGUCCAUAGACCCUCCCCAGCUUGCUCACAUGAAGCCAACCAUGAUCUCCACCCUGGACACACCCCUCCUACGCCUCCUCCUCCAACAAGCCUCCACCUGCAAGGCAAACACACUCAAAGUUCACCCGACACACGCACAUUCCCAUGCAAACCCAACAAAAUUGAUGGCAGAAACUGUGGGAAAGAGGCAUGAAGAGAGAAUGUGGUUAACAAGACAUCCUUCUAUGCUGGAUCUGUAGAGCACUGAGGAAGAAGAGAAGAAAAUGAAGGUGAAAUGGGUGUGCAGAGAGGGCAAGAAGACAGCUCCAUGGCCUACAGCAGCAGCAUGGGUUCCACCUGCUACUACCUGGGGCAUGCACCACUACACCUGGCUUCUGAUGCUUCUCAGUCUGAGCCUCACUCAGGUGAAGGGGGCUCUGGCUCCAUUGUUUCUCCACCUUCCACCUCUGAUGAGAUGACUGUGUUGUCACAUUCUUCCUGGGAGCUGAUGUGGAACAGGCUGAAGUAAAACAUGCUCCGCAAACCCACUCAGCAAGCUCACCUGGUUUCCUUCCGACUGGCUGCCUGUGUGAGACGUCACCUCCUCCACUGACAGGACUUCCUCCAUUGACAGGAAGGCCCUUUCCCCACCAGGAAGUAGAAAACAUGUAAAAAGCAUUGGAGGAGAAACUGAACAUCAAAACAGGCUGUCUUAGACUGGUAACUGUGCAACGGAGUGCUGUUGUAGAGAGAUUUAACAGUGGUUACUGGAUGAUUGUAAUGAAAGAAACUCAAGGUUACUGCUUUUGAAGUGAGUGUUGCUGGGUUUUUAAAAAAUGCCUUUGGAGUUUGUAGAGCUUUACAGGAAGGAGCCGUGGUGAAGAAGCAGGGGCUCUCUGUGUGAUACACUCUGCAGCCCAGUGAAGAUUUGCAAGUCAAACCUCAUUUGCAUCUAAUUUUCAGAACAGAAGUCACAACAGAUUACUUCAAGGUGAAAAAUUCUGAAGACUCUUGGGAAUUUCUUCAAUUAGACCAGGACAAAGAAAACAAAGCUAGGAAAUAAAAUGGGACUUAAAACUUUGCUGUGUGAAUGUGCGGGGGUUGACACGUCUAUAGCAAUUCUAGAGAAGGACCGUCAUGCAUUGCCCUAGUGCGCCCCUUUGGGGCUGGGCUAGUUUGAUUCAAGAUGCUAAUGGCAUUAUUUUUAAAGCUAAACCUGACAAUGUAAAGUUCUAGUUUUAUAAAAUCUGCUAACCUAUUGUAAGAUGUUAAAAAUAUAAAUUAAUACAGUUUUUAUGUUUUCAGAAGUUAAGCUUAAGCAAGCAACUAAAAUGUGUACAUGUAGCUACUGUUUAAAGAAUAUAAGGUAACUCUAUAUGCAAUUUAAAUUCAACUGUGCUAGGUUUCAGAUAUUUUACUAAGUUAAAACCAGUUACGGUCAGACUGAAAAUUAAUUAAUUACAGAAAUAAGGCCUUACCUAGCCAUCUAUGUGCUUAAGGCAAGUAACUAAACAGACAGACCUCUAAUGCUUCAGAGACCUGCAGAAUAUGGCAUUUAAAAGUUGUUUUAAAAGUUUAUAAUAUCAGACAGACCAACAAAUCCUGACAAUGACCCAUAGUCUCCAAAGAAGAUUAUGAGGCACCCCAGUUCCUGCACCUGGAUGAUGACAACGACGCUGACCAGUGAGCAAGAUGCUCAGAUGCAAUACCUACUGCCUGCCAGGACUUGACCAAGACUGUGGACAAAACUGCUAGACACUGAAAAAUUGAUUGCAGCCCCUAUGCCUAGACAAAACAAGGUCAGUCUUUUCCAUGUCCCUCUUCCACAGAGAGAAAAAAACUCUCACCUUAUAGGCCUGGUGAAGACUGCUGUUCUUUGAGACUCCUGCCUCCAAUGCUGGUGGAGACUUGGCUAACUGUAUAUGGACUGGCCCCUGUCACUUUUUAAUAGACUCUGAAACUGUAUAAAAUUUACCCUUCUCAGAUCUCUGAAAGUAUUAAUGGUUGUCAGCUUGACAGCGUCAGGCAGUCAGAUCCACUACAGACUAUAGUUGGCUUGGUAGCUGAUAAAGUAAUGACUGCCUACUGUUCAGGCACAAGCUCAAGGUUUUUAGGUUUAUUUUGGUUGUCAUCUAAGUAUAAACUUAAAGGGCUUUUCAUCAGGCCAAAGGUACCUCUGUCCAAUCCAUACCUGGCUCUCUGGACAGAAGACAAAUGUACACGUUUCUAGCCCAAAUUUAUAGUUUUUGCCAGGACUCAAAAUAUAUGUUCCUGCUGUUUGAACAGAUAACUGGUUUUUUUUGCACUGUGGGUUUCAAUAAAUAAGUUUUAACUUCUGUUCCCAGUUUCAACAUGUCUUAAACAGGUUUCUACUUCUGGCAGACACAACUGAGUAUCAGUUGUUGACUACAGCCUGCCCCUAAAGAACUGCGAGCCCUGGACUUGCUGUGGAUGUGAACCAGUCCAGCUGAGGUGGACACCCCCUAUCUCUUCAACAGAGUCUGCCAACCAGCUGCUUCCCCAUUGCCUGAAUUCCCUUUUUGCUUUUGACUAGCAUUUCAGCCUUUUUGGGUCCCUAACUUCAUCCCAAAGUCGGCAGGAAGUAGCAUGGGAAAGAAUACAUAGCCCAUUUUCUCUAGUUGAAAUACUAAAUCAAAAUAAACUCCCUUACAUAGGGGAUGCCAAUAUCACUCACUCUCUGAUGGGGACGCUGGAGAGACAGCAAUUCCAUAAUUGGAAUCUCCAAAAAGAAAAUGGGGGAAUGAAGGGAUCAGCUCCCCGUUUUGGCAGCCAUAACAGCCUAACAAGUGCUUGCCUGACCUUGCCUUGGUCACUAGGAGGUCAGAUGCCUGCCUCAUGGCAAGGAACCAAACAGAAGUUAGAUGGUGGUGCUAUGCUUUACGGCUAUGGGUGUGCUUUACAGACAAGUGCGCAGCAAUGACGUGCAGAGCAUAGCCCUGGGAGGGCCUAUGUGCCAUGACAGCCAACUGGCCAAUCAACACAGGGCAAGUCCUCCAAUCCUGAAGGCACACCAAUCCUGAGCCUGUGCGUACCCUUAGACACUCCCCUUAUGCUUUCCUAUAAGAUCUCUGUCCCAUGGUUUCUCAGGGUCUUUUCCCAGCCAUCCGCCGUGUUGGAUGGGUGAAAGGCCUGAGCUAAUGGGGUUAGCUCCUUAAACAACUGCAAUAAAUCCUUUUGCUGUUUGCAUCAAGCUUUCCACCUCCGUGAGUGAUUGGGGUCGCUGCAGUCCUGGGCUGAGAGACUGGGGGCCUGAGCCUCUGA
ensembl:lncRNA